rnacentral:rRNA from 1 species
CCUGCCAGUAGCCAUAUGCUUGUUUAAAGGAUUAAGCCAUGCAUGUGUAAGUAUUAAUGAGAUUUUUUAAUAGUGAAACUGCGAAUGGCUCAAUAAAACAGUUAUAGUUUAUUCGAUGAUAUGGAGGUUAUUUGGAAUAACCGCAGUAAUUCUGGGGCUAAUACAUGCUUAAAAGGGAGGUAUUGUAAGAUAUCUUACCUGUAUUUAUUAGACUUGAAAAUCGGAGGAAGAAAUUCCUUCUAUGCAGUUGAACCAUAAUAACUAAUUCGCAAGAAUUAAAACGAAUCGUAUCUACCCUUCUAGUGGUGACGAUGAAUCGUUCAAGUUUCUGACCUAUCAAUUCAAGAAGGUAGUGUAUUGGACCACCUUGAUUGUAACGGGGUACGGAGAAUUAGGGGUUCGAUUCCGGAGAGGGAGCCUGAGAAACGGCUACCACUUCCAAGGAAGGCAGCAGGCGCGCAAAUUACCCAAUCUCAAUACGAGGAGGUAGUGAAUAAAAAUAAC